UCUGAGAAACUUAUAAAUGUGUAGUUUUGUGUUUAACCAUAUUGGUAUCUGAAUACAAAGAAAAAAUAUAAAAAUUUUUAUGAAAAAAUUGAAUCUUCAAUCAUCAUUUACUGAAUCAAUAAUAGUAUGUUCAAUAUUAAUAUAGGCUAUCUCAACUUAAAUUGAUAUUUGUUAUUGUCUACAACUACACUACUACCAACGUUAAAUUUGGUGAAUUAUAUUAUUGUAGUCAAUCAGUCUAAACCAAUUCCAUCAAUACAUUGUCGAAUGUUGUGGUAUUCAAUUUUCAGUAAAUUUAUAGGUGUUUUAUUUUAAGUUACUGUGGCACACUAUUGCAGAUAACGGUUUUCCAUUAAGUCAGUAAGAAGAAUAAGAUGGAUUCACAAGUUCAAAUCAAAUAUUAGACAACUAUAUAUAUUUAGUUAUUCAGCUAAAAAUGUAAUUCAAUAAAAUAAUUUAAAAGUACUUUAUCAUUUUAAAAGUUACAUAAAGUUUUUAAACUCUAAGUA